GAAAAGACUGCAGGGAAGAACCAAUCUAAAACCUUUGUCUUUCUCAAGUCACCGAUGAGGCUUUGCUUAGGGCAUAGGUACUCAAAGACAUGAAUCUGGCCACUCCUAACAACCUCAGGAACUGGAGCAAACCUCUGGGAAUCUGGAUUCUAACUUUAUGAGUUGCCACUAGAACAGAGGCACCACUACUUGGUGGCUGUGUGGCCUUCAGCGUGUCACUUGACCUCUCAGAGCCUUGGGGUCUUCAGUGGUGUCUCUUCCACCCAAUUGUUGGAGCACGUAUGAGAUAAGUAGAACGCACAUUUCAGUGCCUGCUGUGGCCAGGUGAUUUUGCCAAGAGUUUAGGUUGCCAAGAGUGAAUAUGCAUUGUUUAUUAAAUCAGAUAAGCAGUUCAUUACGUAAUCAGAAAUUGGUUGGGAAUCUCUUCUCUCCCACGUUUCAACGUGCUAUGUGAGUGCCGGCAGGAGUUCACAGGAUACCUGUAAAGGCAAGUCGGUUCAGGCAUCUUAUGAACUGGAUUGGAUGGCUGCAUGCAGAUGACCUACGCUGGGCCAAUCAGAGCCUUUCUCUGGUAGCUGACAACCAGAGAGACCUAAGAGACAAAGCCUCAGCUGAAUACAUAAAGGAAAUAUAGUAUCCUUCCUGCAACUCCUCCUCAUCUGAAGAAUAUUAAAGUUUCAAAUGACUUUGUUCAUGGAAAUUGAACGACACAACGACCACUCAAGACUUCAAACAGCUGCCAUCUGAGUGCCAUCGAUGUGUGCCCUUGGGCAAAAUCAGAAAUAGGCUGGACUCAUUACAUUCACUGAGAAAUCCAGUGAGAGAGAGAAACAGAGGGGGAAAAAACCAAGGAGAAUGAGUGAAUAGAAGGCACAAAGACUUGAUCUAAGACAGAUGAGGCAAACAUCAUUCUUAGAUCUCAAGGGAAUUGUUUAGGGAAGAUGCUUUCUGAAAAGGAGAGAACCCGUGUUUGCCCCCUCUGCCUCAUUGUACUCCAGGCUCCACGUGACUUCUACCACGUCAGUAACAGCUAUUGGUCACCUACUAUGUGCCAAGUACUGUUUUCUCACCCAAAUCUCUUAACAAGACUACAAGUCAGAAUUAUUCCUAUCUCCACGUUUUAUGGAUGAAGAAACUGAAGUAAUGAAAGAUUAAAUAAUUUGCCAAUGGUCAAACAGACUGUGAGGGGCGAGCCCAGGAUUUGAACCAAGGAACUACAAUGUACUCUCAACCAUAAAAUUUAAAUCACAGAACUUUAAAAACUCUGCAGCCAUUGACUAUUCACCAAUAAAUAAACCACACAUGCCAUGUUUGAUUGUUCUUCCAACACCUAGGAUCUCAUGCAGAGUUUGUGCUCAGUGAAUGAGUGAGAGAUAAGAGCAGCUCAGUUUUCUUAAUUUUUCAUUUAUAAGAAAAGUAUACAGCACUUAAUGAGCUCAGAACUCAAAGUUUUAAAGUACUGACUGCUCAUCUCUGUAUUUUCAGGUCCUAGCACUACACCCACAAGCUAUGUGAUAUGUUCUCAAAAGAAAGGUAUUGAAUAAAAAGUCUUUGUCAUGA